CCCUCCUCUCCUGCGAACGUUCUCUCUCUCUCAACCUCCUCCGCCAUUUUCGAUCUCUCUCCUCUAUUCUUUGUAUCUUCUGCCAAAAUUUGUAGAUCCAAUUCCUUCGUCGUUCUUGAAACUCAAUAAUUUGGUUACCAAUUUGAUUGUAUUUGAUUGGAAAACAUUGAAAUAUCCACAAACUGGCUCUAGCUCCAGACCAAGGCCAGCCGCAAAACCAGCUUUAAAUCCUGGACCUUCUGCUGAAAGAGCUGAGAGGACUUCAGGUAUUUUGUAGCACAUAUACAUUUAUGUUAUUUAAUUUAAGCAUUACAGACUGUUGGUUUUAUGCUCCACGGGGACAAGAAAUCUGGGAUAGAUUUUCUGGUGCAGUUGGGCGUUUGAUAGAAGAAAUCAUCCAGGGGGUUUCGCAAGGUGAUCUUUCACGUCAUAGAUCAUCAGAUGAUCCAUCAUCGAAGGAUGUGCAAGAAGACCGUGAAAGAAGUUGUAUUUCAAGGAACAUGAGUACUUCAAGGAGAUCAGCAAUUGCAUCAUCAAGCAGGCCAAGUUCUUCUGGUGAGCCCAGUGAUGACAGGUCAAGCAACCUGAUGUUAUAUGUUUUUUUGUUUUGCUAUUAAAUUGGGGCUAUUGAAGGCUUGGUUACUUGGGGUGGGUGCAAGCAAUAGCUUACUGUAGAAUUGUGCUAAGUUGGUGAUGCUUAUUUUCUGUUGGUGUUGGUCUAAAGCCAGCUUGGUAGUUUGAGUUGCUACAGUACCAAAGUUGAC